rnacentral:rRNA from 1 species
ACACAUGCAAGUCGAGGGGCAGCAUGGCUCUUAGCUUGCUAAGGCCGAUGGCGACCGGCGCACGGGUGAGUAACACGUAUCCAACCUGCCGUCUACUCUUGGACAGCCUUCUGAAAGGAAGAUUAAUACAAGAUGGCAUCAUGAGUCCGCAUGUUCACAUGAUUAAAGGUAUUCCGGUAGACGAUGGGGAUGCGUUCCAUUAGAUAGUAGGCGGGGUAACGGCCCACCUAGUCUUCGAUGGAUAGGGGUUCUGAGAGGAAGGUCCCCCACAUUGGAACUGAGACACGGUCCAAACUCCUACGGGAGGCAGCAGUGAGGAAUAUUGGUCAAUGGGCGAGAGCCUGAACCAGCCAAGUAGCGUGAAGGAUGACUGCCCUAUGGGUUGUAAACUUCUUUUAUAAAGGAAUAAAGUCGGGUAUGGAUACCCGUUUGCAUGUACUUUAUGAAUAAGGAUCGGCUAACUCCGUGCCAGCAGCCGCGGUAAUACGGAGGAUCCGAGCGUUAUCCGGAUUUAUUGGGUUUAAAGGGAGCGUAGAUGGAUGUUUAAGUCAGUUGUGAAAGUUUGCGGCUCAACCGUAAAAUUGCAGUUGAUACUGGAUAUCUUGAGUGCAGUUGAGGCUGGCGGAAUUCGUGGUGUAGCGGUGAAAUGCUUAGAUAUCACGAAGAACUCCGAUUGCGAAGGCAGCCUGCUAAGCUGCAACUGACAUUGAGGCUCGAAAGUGUGGGUAUCGAACAGGAUUAGAUACCCUGGUAGUCCACACGGUAAACGAUGAAUACUCGCUGUUUGCGAUAUACGGCAAGCGGCCAAGCGAAAGCGUUAAGUAUUCCACCUGGGGAGUACGCCGGCAACGGUGAAACUCAAGGGAAUUGACGGGGGCCCGCACAAGCGGAGGAACAUGUGGUUUAAUUCGAUGAUACGCGAGGAACCUUACCCGGGCUUAAAUUGCAGAUGAAUUACGGUGAAAGCCGUAAGCCGCAAGGCAUCUGUGAAGGUGCUGCAUGGUUGUCGUCAGCUCGUGCCGUGAGGUGUCGGCUUAAGUGCCAUAACGAGCGCAACCCUUGUUGUCAGUUACUAACAGGUUCUGCUGAGGACUCUGACAAGACUGCCAUCGUAAGAUGUGAGGAAGGUGGGGAUGACGUCAAAUCAGCACGGCCCUUACGUCCGGGGCUACACACGUGUUACAAUGGGGGGUACAGAGGGCCGCUACCACGCGAGUGGAUGCCAAUCCCCAAAACCUCUCUCAGUUCGGACUGGAGUCUGCAACCCGACUCCACGAAGCUGGAUUCGCUAGUAAUCGCGCAUCAGCCACGGCGCGGUGAAUACGUUCCCGGGCCUUGUACACACCGCCCGUCAAGCCAUGGGAGCUGGGGGUACCUGAAGUGCGUAACCGCGAGGAGCGCCCUAGGGUAAAACUGGUGACUGGGGCUAAGU